CCUCAUAAAAGGUCACAGACCAAAAAUUGAAAUGUUUUUCUUGAGACCUCUUGAACCCCUUUACAAUGCAUUGUCACUGUCAUUAAAAAGUGAUUAGAUUGUUGGCAGACAGCAGUUUAAUCACAAACAAUCUGAGGUUGCCAAUUAAGUACUCCAAGCUCUGCACUGAACAUUUUGAACCGGUGUGCUUCAGCAAACAUUUACAAUAGCAUCAGUUACACGAGUGAUGUUCAACACAGGCUGAAACCAGCUCCCGCCCCAGCGAUUUUUCCUUCGGCAAAUGCGACUUCAACUCCCAGCAGCAGCAGGAAGAACCCCGGUGGUCCUGGUGCAUUCGAAAAGUGGCACAGGCAAGAGUAGUGUGAACUUCCUGACUGCUGCAGAGAACUGAGCCUUGAGGGGGGGACACAUAUCACAGGGGAAGUGGGUGAGGUAAGUUUUUCUGGCCCGCUAAUUUAUCACCAGUGUCAUUGAGAAAGAAAGUGUUUUGAGUCAUUGUCCAAUAACUUGUGUUGUUUUCGAUAAGCAUUUUUUCCACAAACUUUUGCUUUUCCCUUCUUUUUUUAUGAACCCUUGCAGCCAUUCAUCCACCGGCACCAACACAGACAGUUCCAACAGCGCCAACAUCUCCGCUCAGCAAAACGGGGCUGUGAAAAACGCUGCCCAUUACAGGCGCAAAAAACACAAGCACCUUAGGGCUGUCCAGUAGCGACGUCAA